rnacentral:tRNA from 1 species
GCCUGGUUGGCUUAGUCAGUAAGGCACAUGACUCUUGAUCUCCUGGUUGUGAGUUCAAGCCCCACAUUGGGUG